CAUGGCCGUCGUCAGUUCGUACUGUGAAGCAUCCUGUUAAGUCAGGCAACGAGCGAGACCCAGCCCACAGUUGCCAGCGUACUCUCUGGAGUGACGGGUACACUGUGGGACCGCCGCUGCUAAAGCGGAGGAAGGAAUGGGCAACGGUAGGUCAGUAUGCCCCGAAUAUCCCGGGCUACACGCGAGCUACAAUGGUUGGUACAAUGGGUAUCUACCCCGAAAGGGGACGGGAAUCUCCUAAACCAAUCUUAGUUCGGAUUGAGGGCUGCAACUCGCCCUCAUGAAGCUGGAAUCCGUAGUAAUCGCGUUUCAACAGAACGCGGUGAAUACGUCCCUGCUCCUU
rnacentral:rRNA from 1 species